UGCGUAGGUGGUGUGAUUAGUCGGGUGUAAAAUCCUCUGGCUCAACCGGAGGUCCGCAUUCGAAACGGUCAUACUCGAGGAAAUGAGAGGUGCGUGGAACUCACGGUGUAGGGGUGAAAUCCGUUGAUAUCGUGGGGAACACCAAAAGCGAAGGCAGCGCACUGGCAUUUUCCUGACACUGAGGCACGAAAGCGUGGGUAGCGAACG
rnacentral:rRNA from 1 species